ACUCACCUCUUCUUGAGGUGUUGUAAGAAAUGCAUGUAUGCUAAAUGGUUGCGAUGCCUAACCUUUUAUGCACUUUAAUUUUGGAUCAAUUUUAAGUCCAUCCAUGCAUAACAACUCAUAUCUACCAACACUUCACAACACAAAACUUUCUUCUUCUUCUUCCUUGAAAUCUGCCAAGAACACCCACAAUCACCUUCAUUUUGAUCUUCAUAAAUCAUAAAUUUUAUUACUUGCAUGCCUCUUUCAAGAUGAUCAAAGACACUUGCAAGUUAAUCGAAGUUAUUUGAAGCAUUUCUCAAGUCUUGGAGCUUUUGGGUCUUCAUCUUUUCAUCAUCUUUUCUAGUUGUUCAUCCCUAGCCAAGUGCUAGUAGAAAUUAGUGGAUGGCCUCAGGAAAGUGUGUCUGUGGGAAUGUCAAGUCAAGCUGUGGGAUGUUACCCUAUGUUUAGUCCUUAUGUUUGAAACAAUGUAUUUGGAAACUUGUGUUUUGGUACAACGAUGUCAACCUUGGUACUUUUUCGAACAAACGUAUGGUUGUAAAUUUGCUUUAAAUAAAUGCAUGGAUGAACAACUCGUUAUGUUUUA